UACGUAGGGAGCAAGCGUUAAUCGGAAUUACUGGGCGUAAAGCGUGCGCAGGCGGUUUCCUAAGACAGAUGUGAAAACCCCGGGCUCAACCUGGGGACUGCAUUUGUGACUGGGGGGCUAGAGUACGGUAGAGGGGGGUGGAAUUCCGCGUGUAGCAGUGAAAUGCGUAGAUAUGCGGAGGAACACCAAUGGCGAAGGCAAUCCCCUGGACCUGUACUGACGCUCAUGUACGAAAGCGUGGGGAGCAAACAGG
rnacentral:rRNA from 1 species